rnacentral:misc_RNA from 1 species
AAAAAAUACAGUUAAUGCGUAAACAAAUAUAUAUCUUAAGAUAACAUGAGAAAACAAGCAGUAGCAGCCGGGAAAAGAAUGAACAAUUGCUUACAUAUUGGUGGCUGAAAAUUUUAUUAUAGAGAGAGAUGAACAGAAUAUUCUGAAGUACAAACGUCAAAUAAAUUAUAGUAAAAUACGACCAAAACUGAAAAGUAAGAAUCAAAACCCAAGGGAAACUGUAGAGCACUAUUUGCUUGUCCAUACAAUUGCCAUAGAAUUAUUUGCCUGUCGAAAUUCUCCAAGAAGAAGAAGAAGAUGGAAUGAAGAAGAAAGAACCAUGAAUUGCUAACCUUGCCAGGGUGCUUGGUUUUGGUUUUGGUUCUGCUGCCCGUAAGUUGAGGAAGAAUUUAUGUGGCGGCCUAGGCCAGCUAGAUUGAAAAAGUCUUUGUGGGAAAAUGCUUUGAGACCCAAGAAAUCUCGCGUCAAGCCAUCAUUGCCACCUCCAUGACCAUGACGACCGCCACCACCAGGAGCAGUAGCAGUUGCAGUUUUAUCUUCACGGUCCUUUCUGCUACUAAUCUGGGAUUCUGUUGAUUUGGAAUUGGAGUGAGUUUCUUGAAAAUUAUUACCAUUUCUUUUUGGAUUUAACAUUCCAUUGAAAUCCUCAUCAAAAGAUGACCCAUCAAAACCACUUGUAGGAGACAAUGAACUCAUGAUAUCAAGAACGAGAGAAGAAGGCCCUAUGAUGUCAGAGGUGGUAGCAGCUUUAUUCCCAACUGAUGCCAAGUCAUAACCAAACCCACUUUCCGUGUCUUCGCGUGAGGACAAACCUAGUCCAGAACCAGCUGUAGACGUAGCUAUCGAUGUGUAACUGAAGCCAGAUGUGGUUGCAGACAUGUGAGCUUGGUGGGGUCUGAGCAUAACAGCUGCAGAAGCAGAAGCAGGAGAUGGCGAAGGCUUGCUCAUAGUCACACCCAUUUGUGCUGCUUUUUGCAGCAAUGCAGUUGCAGACGUGUGAGGGGAGGAUGUGGGGGUAUGGAAGGGAGGGAGUAUAAGAUUAGGGUUAGGACUAGGGUUUUCAUGUUGUAGAAAUGGCUGAUCUAAAUUUGCUGGAAAUAAUAAUGAUGAGAUAUUGAUUUGUGGUGGACCUGGAUCAGCUUCCCCUACGGGCUGGCAGGCUAAGCAUGGUGGGACAUUACUAUCUGGUUUUGUAUUAAAAAGAUGGUGGCUUUCUUUCUCUCUUUUCACCGAUAGGCCUUGCAAAUUGAUCAUAUGAGAAGCGGAGGAGCUAGGCUGUUGAUGAGAAGAGAGAAGUGGGUGGUUCAAUGUGAUGGCUCUUGCACUCUCUUCUGCUAAUGCAUCACAGAAGGCUCUGUGGGUG